GAUGAACGCUAGCUACAGGCUUAACACAUGCAAGUCGAGGGGAAACGACAUUGGAAGCUUGCUUCCGAUGGGCGUCGACCGGCGCACGGGUGAGUAACGCGUAUCCAACCUGCCCACCACUUGGAGAUAACCUUGCGAAAGUAAGACUAAUACCCAAUGACGUCUCUAGAAGACAUCUGAAAGAGAUUAAAGAUUUAUCGGUGAUGGAUGGGGAUGCGUCUGAUUAGCUUGUUGGCGGGGUAACGGCCCACCAAGGCGACGAUCAGUAGGGGUUCUGAGAGGAAGGUCCCCCCACAUUGGAACUGAGACACGGUCCAAAACUCCUACGGGAGGCAGCAGUGAGGAAUAUUGGGUCAAAUGGGGCGAGAGCCCUGAACCAGCCAAGUAGCGUGCAGGAUGACGGCCCUAUGGGUUGUAAACUGCUUUUUCGCGGGGAUAAAGGGGGGGAUGCGUCCCCCGUUGCAGGUACCGCGUGAAUAAGGACCGGCUAAUUCCGUG
rnacentral:rRNA from 1 species